ACAGGGUGAUAGCCCCGUAACCGACGCUUCAUCGAGCGUGAAAUCGAGUAGGGCGGGACACGUGAUAUCCUGUCUGAAUAUGGGGGGACCAUCCUCCAAGGCUAAAUACUCCUGACUGACCGAUAGUGAACCAGUACCGUGAGGGAAAGGCGAAAAGAACCCCUGUGAGGGGAGUGAAAUAGAACCUGAAACCGUGUACGUACAAGCAGUAGGAGCACCUUCGUGGUGUGACUGCGUACCUUUUGUAUAAUGGGUCAGCGACUUAUAUUCAGUGGCAAGGUUAACCGUAUAGGGGAGCCGUAGCGAAAGCGAGUCUUAACUGGGCGCUCAGUCUCUGGAUAUAGACCCGAAACCGGGUGAUCUAGCCAUGGGCAGGUUGAAGGUUGAGUAACAUCAACUGGAGGACCGAACCGACUAAUGUUGAAAAAUUAGCGGAUGACUUGUGGCUAGGGGUGAAAGGCCAAUCAAACUCGGAGAUAGCUGGUUCUCCCCGAAAGCUAUUUAGGUAGCGCCUCGGACGAAUACUACUGGGGGUAGAGCACUGUUAAGGCUAGGGGGUCAUCCCGACUUACCAACCCUUUGCAAACUCCGAAUACCAGUAAGUACUAUCCGGGAGACACACGGCGGGUGCUAACGUCCGUCGUGGAGAGGGAAACAACCCAGACCGCCAGCUAAGGUCCCAAAGUAUUGCUAAGUGGGAAACGAUGUGGGAAGGCUCAGACAGCUAGGAUGUUGGCUUAGAAGCAGCCAUCAUUUAAAGAAAGCGUAAUAGCUCACUAGUCGAGUCGGCCUGCGCGGAAGAUGUAACGGGGCUAAGCAAUACACCGAAGCUGCGGCAAUAUCUUUUAGAUAUUGGGUAGGGGAGCGUUCUGUAAGCCGUUGAAGGUGAAUCGUAAGGUUUGCUGGAGGUAUCAGAAGUGCGAAUGCUGACAUGAGUAACGACAAAGGGGGUGAAAAACCUCCUCGCCGGAAGACCAAGGGUUCCUGUCCAACGUUAAUCGGGGCAGGGUGAGUCGACCCCUAAGGUGAGGCCGAAAGGCGUAAUCGAUGGGAAACGGGUUAAUAUUCCCGUACUUCUGACUAUUGCGAUGGGGGGACGGAGAAGGCUAGGUGGGCCAGGCGACGGUUGUCCUGGUUCAAGUGCGUAGGCUUGAGAGUUAGGUAAAUCCGGCUCUCUCUAAGGCUGAGACACGACGUCGAGCUGCUACGGCAGUGAAGUCAUUGAUGCCAUGCUUCCAGGAAAAGCCUCUAAGCUUCAGAUAGUCAGGAAUCGUACCCCAAACCGACACAGGUGGUCGGGUAGAGAAUACCAAGGCGCUUGAGAGAACUCGGGUGAAGGAACUAGGCAAAAUGGUACCGUAACUUCGGGAGAAGGUACGCUCUUGAUGGUGAAGUCCCUCGCGGAUGGAGCUGACGAGAGUCGCAGAUACCAGGUGGCUGCAACUGUUUAUUAAAAACACAGCACUGUGCAAAAUCGCAAGAUGACGUAUACGGUGUGACGCCUGCCCGGUGCCGGAAGGUUAAUUGAUGGGGUUAGCGCAAGCGAAGCUCUUGAUCGAAGCCCCGGUAAACGGCGGCCGUAACUAUAACGGUCCUAAGGUAGCGAAAUUCCUUGUCGGGUAAGUUCCGACCUGCACGAAUGGCGUAAUGAUGGCCACGCUGUCUCCACCCGAGACUCAGUGAAAUUGAAAUCGCUGUGAAGAUGCAGUGUACCCGCGGCUAGACGGAAAGACCCCGUGAACCUUUACUACAGCUUGGCACUGAACAUUGAACCUACAUGUGUAGGAUAGGUGGGAGGCUAUGAAGACGUGACGCCAGUUGCGUUGGAGCCGUCCUUGAAAUACCACCCUUGUAUGUUUGAUGUUCUAACUUAGACCCAUUAUCUGGGUUGAGGACAGUGCCUGGUGGGUAGUUUGACUGGGGCGGUCUCCUCCCAAAGAGUAACGGAGGAGCACGAAGGUGGGCUAAUCACGGUUGGACAUCGUGAGGUUAGUGCAAUGGCAUAAGCCCGCUUAACUGCGAGAAUGACGGUUCGAGCAGGUGCGAAAGCAGGUCAUAGUGAUCCGGUGGUUCUGUAUGGAAGGGCCAUCGCUCAACGGAUAAAAGGUACUCCGGGGAUAACAGGCUGAUACCGCCCAAGAGUUCAUAUCGACGGCGGUGUUUGGCACCUCGAUGUCGGCUCAUCACAUCCUGGGGCUGAAGUCGGUCCCAAGGGUAUGGCUGUUCGCCAUUUAAAGUGGUACGCGAGCUGGGUUUAGAACGUCGUGAGACAGUUCGGUCCCUAUCUGCCGUGGGCGUUGGAAGAUUGAAGGGGGCUGCUCCUAGUACGAGAGGACCGGAGUGGACGAACCUCUGGUGUUCGGGUUGUGUCGCCAGACGCAUUGCCCGGUAGCUAAGUUCGGAAUUGAUAAGCGCUGAAAGCAUCUAAGCGCGAAGCGAGCCCUGAGAUGAGUCUUCCCUGACAGUUUAACUGUUCUAAAGGGUUGUUCGAGACUAGAACGUUGAUAGGCAGGGUGUGUAAGCGUUGUGAGGCGUUGAGCUAACCUGUACUAAUUGCCCGUGAGGCUUAACCA
rnacentral:rRNA from 1 species